GUUGCCUUGGGCGAGGAACCCGAGAUUCGACACUCCGCCACCGACGAUAGAACCACCCCAGGCGCAACACAUCGAAGACGACCCCGUCGGUCUAAAAGCUGCGAUCGAUGUCCAAGAUCUUAACGUGAACUAUGGUGCCCUGAAGGCGGUAGAUGGCGCCACAUUUCGUGCAUUUGAAGGACAGAUCACAGUCCUACUGGGACAGAAUGGUGCAGGCAAGACGACACUCAUGAAUGUGCUUUGUGGUCUUGUGCGACAGACUGAUGGAAGUGUGGCGGUGUGUGGCUAUGACGUGCAUAAUGAAUCCGUUGCAGCCCGAAGUUGCCUAACCUUUUGCCAACAAGCCGAUGUCUUGUUUAAGGACCUCACCGUGUCGGAACACCUUUAC